rnacentral:lncRNA from 1 species
CGUAAUGGAAAAACCAAAAAUUGAACAAAUAAUUUGAAAUUAAAAGCUACAAGAAAAGGGGAUUGAUUCUUUUUGUUCCGUAAAAGCUACUAAAAAUAUAUAUACCUUUCUUGGGUUUGUUAGUGUGAAGCUUCGGCUCUUCGCUCAUUGUUGAAAAACCUCUGCUAAUUUUUUUUCUUCUCUCUAGGUAUUGGGGACCGGAAAUUGCUUACAAAUUUUCAGAUGAAUCCAUCAAUGGAUAGUUUUCUUCAUUUCUUUUUCAUUUCAUAGGGUUCUUGGGAAAAAACUCUUGGGGGCGAUGAACAAGCAACUGAUUAGAAAGCUACUAAAAAUAUAUAUACCUUUCUUGGGUUUGUUAGUGUGAAGCUUCGGCUCUUCGCUCAUUGUUGAAAAACCUCUGCUAAUUUUUUUUCUUCUCUCUAGGUAUUGGGGACCGGAAAUUGCUUACAAAUUUUCAGAUGAAUCCAUCAAUGGAUAGUUUUCUUCAUUUCUUUUUCAUUUCAUAGGGUUCUUGGGAAAAAACUCUUGGGGGCGAUGAACAAGCAACUGAUUACGACGUCGCAUUUACCGGACGCAUUUCGUUAUAUUGCCUCAUUGGUCUCCUUUGCUGGACGGUGAUUGAUGCCUAGCCUUGGCGUUGUUACGUGCUUUGUAAAUUAAGACCAUG